GACGUAGGGCGCGAGCGUUGUCCGGAUUUAUUGGGCGUAAAGAGCUCGUAGGCGGCUCGUUGCGUCGGCUGUGAAAACCCGCAGCUCAACUGUGGGCUUGCAGCCGAUACGGGCGGGCUGGAGUUCGGUAGGGGAGACUGGAAUUCCUGGUGUAGCGGUGAAAUGCGCAGAUAUCAGGAGGAACACCGGUGGCGAAGGCGGAUCUCUGGGCCGUAACUGACGCUGAGGAGCGAAAGCAUGGGGAGCGAACAGG
rnacentral:rRNA from 1 species